GGAUCCAGACUUUGAUCAUGGCUCAGGAUGAACGCUAGCUACAGGCUUAACACAUGCAAGUCGAGGAGAAACGACAUCGAAAGCUUGCUUUUGAUGGGCGUCGACCGGCGCACGGGUGAGUAACGCGUAUCCAACCUGCCCACCACUUGGGGAUAACCUUGCGAAAGUAAGACUAAUACCCAAUGACGUCUCUAGAAGACAUCUGAAGGAGAUUAAAGAUUUAUCGGUGAUGGAUGGGGAUGCGUCUGAUUAGCUUGUUGGCGGGGUAACGGCCCACCAAGGCGACGAUCAGUAGGGGUUCUGAGAGGAAGGUCCCCCACAUUGGAACUGAGACACGGUCCAAACUCCUACGGGAGGCAGCAGUGAGGAAUAUUGGACAAUGGGCGAGAGCCUGAACCAGCCAAGUAGCGUGCAGGAUGACGGCCCUAUGGGUUGUAAACUGCUUUUAUAAGGGAAUAAAGUGAGUCUCGUGAGACUUUUUGCAUGUACCUUAUGAAUAAGGACCGGCUAAUUCCGUGCCAGCAGCCGCGGUAAUACGGAAGGUCCGGGCGUUAUCAGGAUUUAUUGGGUUUAAAGGGAGCGUAGGCCGGAGAUUAAGCGUGUUGUGAAAUGUAGAUGCUCAACAUCUGAACUGCAGCGCGAACUGGUUUCCUUGAGUACGCACAAAGUGGGCGGAAUUCGUGGUGUAGCGGUGAAAUGCUUAGAUAUCACGAAGAACUCCGAUUGCGAAGGCAGCUCACUGGAGCGCAACUGACGCUGAAGCUCGAAAGUGCGGGUAUCGAACAGGAUUAGAUACCCUGGUAGUCCGCACGGUAAACGAUGGAUGCCCGCUGUUGGUCUGAAUAGGUCAGCGGCCAAGCGAAAGCAUUAAGCAUCCCACCUGGGGAGUACGCCGGCAACGGUGCAACUCAAAUGAAUUGACGG
rnacentral:rRNA from 1 species